AAAACUUUCAACAACGGAUCUCUUGGCUCUGGCAUCGAUGAAGAACGCASCGAAAUGCGAUAAGUAAUGUGAAUUGCAGAAUUCCSCGAAUCAUCGAAUCUUUGAACRCACAUUGCGCCCAGUAGUUACUCUGCUGGGSAUGCCUGUUCGAGCGUCAUU
rnacentral:rRNA from 1 species